rnacentral:tRNA from 1 species
AGCCCUGUAGUGUAGCGGUCAAUUCAGCAGAGACCAAUCAUCCCGCCCUUUGGAGGCGGGGACCCAGGUUCGAAUCCUGGCAGGGCUA